ensembl:lncRNA
GUGACCUUCGCAAAGGACUCUGGAACCCCGGCCGCUGCCGCUGCCUCUGCCGCUGCCGCUGCUCCCGGAGGCCGCAGUUCUGUGCCGGUCGGCGUCAGGGAAGAGGACAAGGCGGGAUGUCGCGGCGCGUCCUUUUGGUUCAAGGCUAGAAACCUACAAUCAUAAGAAACGAAACAAGGGGGGAACAGAAGUGGGGGGGGGGGGCGAUAAGAGACUGAACGAACUCGCGGCGACUUUUGAUGACGCCACACCGGGUGUAUCGCUGUUUCCGGUGUGCUGAUCUCGGUGUUUUUUGUUUGUUUAGAUUGUUUACGGUUAGCGACCAGCGGGAUGAAAGGAUGGACGCUGAAAGAUAAAGGGAAGCAAAGAUCUCGGGAAGAAAGUGUUGCUGGCCCGGACUCACAAACCUAUGUCACGUUUGUGCUUUAGCUCCCCGUGCAUCUGCUUGGCGGGACUGGCGAGUGGAGGAGGUACAUCAUUCAACUCUGCCACCAUGAAUUUGAUUGACUUAGAUUCCUACAACAUGUGAGAAGAUAGAGAAUUGUUCCUGUGCAGGACUAGCUGAUUUCACGUCAUACAUGUUUCAUCUGUGCUGUUGCAAAUGAAAGAAUUUAUUUUCUUGGGUAUGGCAGGCCUUACUUCUUGCCCUGGCCACUGUGGAACUCUUCAGCAGCUUCAUAUUCUACUGGCAACAGUUAGCCAUCUUUCUUGGCCUGACAACUUCGUCCUGGAUGCCCUUGUCCAUCACUCUCUGCUGCUGCUUUGUGUUAUCAACUCAGCCAGCACUACUAAAUGUGGGUAGAUAUUCAGUGGUGUCAGCAUCUAGUUUCCACAGCUUAUAAAGUUUUCAAGACUGACCAGGAGAUGGAAGUAUUGGACUAAGGAAUGAACACUUCCGUUCCUGUCCAAGGCUGCUUUGGGAGCCACAAGGUGCUGCUCCGGCUGUGACAUUACCAGGUAGAAGAGAUAAAUGAUGCACAGGAUGCUUCUAGCUCAUCAGCAGUUGAGAUUCCAGUUCCCACACCACUGAUCAUCCCUGGAUUGGCCACCAUAGGGCUGGAUGUAAAGGAUGAGGAGAAAAGCAAUGUUAACAUGUUUUUGAGGAAUCAGAUAUUGUUAUCAAAAUAUGAUGUUAUAAUUUUUUUUUGUUUUUUUGAGACAGGGUUUCCCUGUGGCUUUGGAGGCUGUCCUGGAACUAUCUCUUGUAGACCAGGCUGAUCUCGAACUCACAGAGAUCCACCUGCCUCUGCAUCCCUAGUGCUGAGAUUAAAGUGCGUGCGCCACCAACUCCUGGCUCAAAAAUAUAAUAUUAUAAUUUAACUUAAUUGGUUACAGAUUUUAAGAAGCCAUAGUCAUCCUGAAGGAUUUCUGUCUAAUGUUCCUAUAAUGCUCUAUAAGUAUAUCUGUCACAAGCCUUAUGUUACUAAUAUGUUUUAUGCAUCUAUCCUCUGAUUUAAAGCCAAGAAGCAUUUCAUCUUUAACAUUGCAUUUCUUAUACAUAGCAUAAUUACUGGUACAUAGUAGGAAGCAGUGUCCUUUUGUCUAACUUGGCAGUGGGAACCAGUGAAAUUUUUAUAGCAUGGCUGUGCCAUUAUAAGGUUUUCACUGGAGGUAGAGAAAGGUUGUUAGUUGUUUUGGAAACAUGGAAGAGUGGGAGUAGGGAAAAAUCUAUUGCAGAGUUCACACUAGAGACGAUGAAGGUUAGAACUAGGGUGAUAACAGAAAAAACCAAAUGGAGAGUUACUGAGGAGGCAAGUUGGCACAAUUUGGGAAUCUAUGUGGAGAAUGAGGAGCUUCAGGCUUGGGUAAUAGUGGUGCCCCUUGAAGAUUCAGAGCAAAACAGGGAAGCAGGUUUGAGGUAGGGGAGAUCAAUUCAGUUUUGACCAUGAUAAGGUUGAGGUGACUGCUAGAGAUUUGCCAUCAAGAUUUGGGAGAUCAAAACUUAAGAGAGAAGUCAGGAGUGAAAAUAAGAAUCCCAAAUACAGCAGGUCAUUGGUGGCACACCCCUUUAAUCCCAGCACUCGGGAGGCAGAGGCAGGCUGAUCUCUGUGAGUUCGAGGCCAGCCUGGUCUCCAGAGCGAGUGCCAGGAUAGGCUCCAAAGCUACACAGAGAAACCCUGUCUCAAACAAAACAAAACAAAAAAAGAAAUACAUAGUUGGGGCUUAAAAUUGGAUGCUAUCAUUUGCAGACAGAAUAUAUAGUAAAACUUUAAGAAACUCUUGCAUUUAUGAAGUAAUUGAAAAAUGAGAAGCCCAAGAAGAAGGGAGAAAAGGAAUACCCAUAGAGAUUAGAGGAAAACCAAGACAGUGUGGUGUCAUUGCAGCCAAAGGAGGAGAGGGUUUGGGAAGGACUGAUCAGGAGCACAUGGCACUUUAUACUCCGCUAGGGAGGUGAUGGUAAGGAAAAGUUCCAUGUGGCGGAGAUGUGCAGUGUUGUGACAGGAGGUAAACCCAGCAAGGCUAGUUCAGUUCUUGUAUUGGCUGGUUUAUGUUGUCAACUUGACACAAGCUAGAGUCACUGGAGAGGAGGAAGCCUCAAUUGAGAAAAUGCUUCCGUAAGAAUAGGCUAUAGAGCCAGGCGUUGGUGGUGCACGCCUUUAAUCCCAGCACUUGGGAGGCAGAGGCAGGCGGAUGUCUAUGAGUUCAAAACCAGCCUGAUCUACAGAGCAAGUUCCAGGACAGGCUCCAAAGCUACAGAGAAACCCUGUCUUGAAAAACCAAAAAAAAAGGCUAUAGGCAAGUCUAUAAGGUAUCCAUUGUGGGUAAAGCCAACCUUGGGCAGGUCCUGGGUUCUAUAAGAAAGCAGGCUGAGCAAGCCAUGGUGAGCAAGCCAGUAAGCAGCACCCCUUUGUGGUCUCUGCAUCAGCUCCUGCCUCCAGGUUCCUGCCCUGUGUGAGUUCCUGUCCUGACUUCCUUCGAUUACGAACAGCAAUGUGGAAGUGUAACCCAAAUAACCCUUUCCUCCUCAACUUGCUUUUUGGUCAUGGUGUUUUGUUGCAGCAAUGUCAACCCUAAGAUAGUCCUGAUCCAAAAGGAUGGUUAUCAGGCCAAGGACUCUGAGCUACAUUUUGUAGAUGAUGGAGAGUCAUCAGCAGUUUUCAGAUAGGAAUGACUUGGUCAGAACAAGGUUUACAAAGGUCAGGCUGGGGACAGCAUAGGGAAUCCUAUGGAGGAUUGGGACUUGAGACAGAGCCCAUCAAAAUGAAGUGAAGGAGCACUUUGGUUGUGGGGGAAGGUACCACUUCUGAAGAUCCUUAGCAGAUAACAUUGGUAAGCCCUAAAAGCAAUAGAAACACUCAGUGAGCCAUAUAGUAAGCAUUAUUAAUAACCACAUUGACUUACCUUGUUCUUACAACAAACCUAUGAGAUAGAUAAGCAUCAUUAAUGUCAUUUUGUGCAUGAUAAAACAGAACAUAGAGAUAAAGACAUUUGAUGAACAGACUUAAUUACUAAUUGGAAGAACCUAUAUUCCAAACUGGUUGUUUGGCUAGCCAUCACCUCCCUUCAAAACAUUAAACCUAUGGCUUUCCACAAGCACUCUACUACUGACCAUAUCUAAAAGAUUUCACUAACUACUGAAGGCUGUCCUCAAACAUAAGCAGGUCUUCAACUUGCUAUCCUCCUGCCUCAGCCCUCCUAGUAGCUGGAAUUAUAGACCCAUGCUCCUGGGCCUGGCUCUAACAUCCAUUCUUAAGGACUUACAUUGCCACCUGUAACUAUUUUGGUGUCCAAGGGCCAUGCUGCCACCAGGGCCAUGUUGAUCUGAGUGGCCUGUGCUGCCACUGGGAGACAUGAUGACAUCUGGGCCUGGGUUGCUGCUGGGGGCUAUGCCUGGGUCUAUGACCCUGCAACAGCCAGAGUCUGUGUUGUCUAUGGCUUUAGUAACCACUAAAGAAGGGAUGGGUGCCUGGGGUCUGGUCAAACACCCGAGUCCAUGUUGGUCUUCUAGGGUCACACUUCCACUGGGGCCAUGGCAAUCUGGAUGACCCAUGCUACCAUCCAGGGCCGUGGUGACAACCAAGCCUCGGCUGUGAUGAGGGCCAUGUCUGGGUCUGUAGACUUACCACACCUAAGGUCUGUGUUAAUAUCUGUGACUCCUGAUACCACCAAAAGCCAUGCAAAUAUCUGGGGUCUGGGCUGUCAUCUGAAGCCAGGUAGAUCUGAGGGUGCAGUGGGGCCAUACAAAUCUGAAUGGUCUCCACUGCCACAACGUGCCAUGGUGACAUCCAGACCCAGGCUGCAGCUGAGGGCCAUGUCUCAGUCCAUGGCCCUAUAGCUGCUGGGGUCUGUGUGGAUGUCCGUGGCUCAUGAUAAUAUGGAAGGCCAUGCUGGUGCCAGGGGUCUGGUUGGUGUCCAAGUGCUACACUGUCACUGGGGUCUUACCGAUCAAAGUAGCCUGCACUGUUGCCUGGGACCAAGGUGACAUCCAAGCCCAGACCAUGUUGGCACCUGAGGCCCAUGCCACCACCAGGGCCACACCAAUCUGAGUGACCUACACUACCAUCUGGGACCAUGGUGUCAUCCAGGCCAGGGAUGCUGCUGAGGGCCCUGUCUGUGCCCAUGGCCCUACUGCAGCCAGGGUCUGAGUUGAUGUCCAUGACACCAGAUACCAUUGAAGGCCAUGCUGAUGCUAGGAGUCUGGGCUGCCACCUGGGGCCAUAUUGGUGUCCAAGGGCUGCUCUGCUGCAGGGGCCAUGCCAAUCUGGCUGGCCUGCCCUGCAACCUGGGGCCAUGGUAACAGCCAAGCCUGGGCUGCUGCCAGGGACCAUGUUUGGGUCUGUGGUCCUGUCACACUCAGAGUCUGUGUGUGUAGCCCGUGGUGUCACCAAAGGUCACAUGGAUGCCCAAGGUCUAACCAUAUCCUGUGGCCAUGGUGGUGUCUAGGACUGUGCUACUGCUGGGACCAUGGCGUCAUCUGGGCCAGGUCUACUGCUGGGGCUAUGUCUGGGUCCAUGGCCCAAUAGCAACCAUAGUCCGAAAUGAUAUCCACGGCUCCUGAUACGAAGGAAGACAAUGCCAAUGUCCGGGUUCUGGGCUACUAUCUGUGGCCAUGUUGGUGUCCACGGGCCUCACUGCUCCUGGGCCAUGUGUGUUGUAAUUUUUAAAAAGUGCUGUGAGAGAGAAAGACAUCAUGUGACAGAGUUCAGGCAGAGGGAUGUUUUUCUUAGGGGGAAAGGAUCAUAAAAAGGGGAAAGGGGAGGGGGGAGACUGGCCUCCAGGGACAGGGGCAGCUGGACUGAGGAAAGAGAGGCAGAGACAGUGAGAUUAAGAGAGAGAAACAGACAGGGAGAGAAAGAAAGAGACAGAAGGAUAAGAGGUGGGCAGGGCCCUUUUAAAAGGGAUCAUAGUCAAUAGGCACAGGUGGUGCUCUUAGGGGCAGCUGAGGGUGUAUCCUGUCAGGACUCCAAGGGCAGUCCGGAACAAAUGCCUAAAUACUAGCAAUGGCAAUGUGAGUGGCCUGCAUAGCCACAUGGGGCUGAGCCCAGGCUGCUGCCUAGGGAUAUGUCUGAGUUCAUGGCCCAACAGCAGCCAGGGUCUGGGCUGAUGUCCAUGGCUCAUGUUAGUUGCCACAGGGGGUCAUAGGAAGCAUGCAUGUUGAAAUCUGAGGGCUAUGCUGAGCCAGCCCUGCCCCUCACUGGUCUCAGGAUAGCUGGCCCUACCCUUCAUUAGACACUGCAGCAGGAGAGCUGGUUAUGCACCUGCCACACACAAUGGGAGAGCUGACCCAAGCAUUUAUGAGAGAUGGCCCCACCUCUCACCACAGGCAUGGGAGAGCUGGCCCUGAUGGCAUGAGCCUGGGAGAGCUGGCUCUGCCCCUCAUCUAAGGGGGUGGUCCCAGUGAUCCAGACCAACUAUCUCGCCUACCACUUAGACUCACAUCCUGUGCCUUGGGUUGACUCACCCUAACAGUUGCCCCAUCUGUGACAUGCUGCAAUGCUUGAAGGGUCUGGUCCUGUGGAACAAUAACCACAGGAUGUCCAUGACUCAGGGUAACAGCAGGAUAUCUGAAAGGAGUCUUGAUGAGAGCCCAGUGAUGAUGAGUGUCAGAAGCCAGAGGCCUUGAACCAGACCAAUGACUCAUUGCAAUGGCACUAAUUGGGCAUACUGCAUGACGCACCAAAGCUCCUGGUGCCACUAGGAUGAAUGAAGAGGGUUGAAAAGAUGGAGGAGUGAGGUGAUUUUUUUGUGUGUUUUUUUAUUUUAAUUAAUUUUCUUUUGUUUUUAAUCACUGCAGGGAUGAGGAGUGGAUAGGGAGGGACUGGGAGGUGAGCAGGAUUGGGGUUACAUGAUGUGAAAUUUCCAAAGAAUCAAUGAAGAAUUGUGUUUAAAAAGAAAAAUCCUCGUCUGUGCUGGGUGAUGGUGAUGCAUACCUUUAACCUCAGUGGCUGGGAGGCAGAGACAGACAGAUCUUUGUCCUAGUCUACAGAGGGAGUUCUAGGACUGCUAGGGCUGUUGCACACAGAUACCGUGUCUUAAAACAACAACAACAACAACAAUGCACAAACAAAACAACAAAAAACAACUCUUGUCUGCUAAUCUGGCAUAUUGAUAAUUUUGGAAUCAAUCUUUACUUUUCAAUACAGGUCACAUUUUUCUGUUCCUUGUAUAAACCCAGUCAUCCUGGCUUGUCUCAUGAAUAUUGUAAAAGAAUUUCUUCAAUGGAUACCAUAUGUCCCUAUGAAGAGUGUUGAUAUUUGUUUUUCUUAUGUUUUAGCAGGUAGUCAAGUGGAUUGCAAUCAGACCACAUCCAUAGCCCCUGUGAAAAACAAGUGGAAUUGAAUUUGGCUAGCUUUAUCUGGGCUGUUUAGAGAUGGUGCUACAUCUGUAUAAUUCAAAGAUCAGCAAGAAAUAGGGGUUGUUUAUAUGUAGAAUUUGGGCUAGCAGGCUCCCUUCCUUCCAGAAUUUUACCCUCCACACUUUCUAGCUGAUAUGAAAACCUUGAACUCUGUUCUCUGAUCUUCAAGCCAGUAAGGUUCCAUUUAAGCCACCAAUCAAGAACAUGACUUAGGGCUGUGUGUGGCUAGAAGUAUGUGGAUCUCAUCUAGCUUGCACCUGUUCUUUGAAAUGGCAGUUUUCUUUCAGUUUCUUACUGCUUCGGGUUACUUGUCAAUACUUAUAUGUAGCUUUUAAAGCAUAUUUUUCUCCAGAGUGUAGAGGUCUUUUAUCUGACCAAAGGUCAGUUUCACAGGUGCUACUUGGGCACCUAAGUGGAAAUCAAAACUUGUGUGUGCUAUGUUACACAACCUGUGGCACAUAUUGCAUGAAUAUUCUGGGGUGCAGCAAAAAUGUAUACCUAGGAUCCACAUGUUUGAUUUAGAUGAUGUGACAGGGUUUAUAAGCAUGUAAGAUAAAAGUGAUGAUACUUUCAAUUGGCAUGCUUGGAGGAAUGAGAAGUUUGAUAGUUGCCCAUUUGGGGAUUCUCAUUCAUUCAAAUAGCCUGACAGGUAGAGUUCUACUGUGAGCAACUCGAGUACUUCUCCCUCAAGGAGCUUCAAGGAUCAAGUAUCCUAAUAUCUAUGAAUUUUAAAAACCAGUGUUAAACUUGUAGUAAACUCUAGUUUUUAUGCAGCCUGUAGGUCAGAUGGACAGAGCAAGACUUCCACACAACCCUCUGCCAGACCUGAUGUCUGUGACAUAAAGGAGUGGAUUAAUAGACAAGCUGUUUAAAAGCUUAAAUCAGGGUGAGUGACACAAUGCAUAUAGGGGAAGGGCAGUGGUAGUGAAGGCCUUUAAUCCUAGCACUUGUGAAGCAGAGGCAGGUGGAUCUCUGAGUUUUAGGCCAGCCUGGUCUACAAAGUAAGUUCCAGGACAUUAGUGUUGUUACACAGAGAAACCCUGUCUUGAAAAAAAAGAAUGAUACCCAAAUUUGUCCUCUGGGAACCAAGACAUAUGAUAAAUAUAGGAUUAAGAAGAUAAGGAAAGGUUGUGUAUAAAUGUCGAGGAGAUUUUCAACCCAUUAGUGUUCAGAACGUUCUAAUUCUAUAAAAGUAAGCAUUGUAUAGCAUAUGUCAUCUAACAGCAAAAGGUUUUUCAUCUCACAUUUGUAGUUUGAGUUCAGUGGCAGGGAGCACAACCAUUUUGUUAUGGUUACAGGAGUUCAUAGGAGUGGUAAACUGUACCAUGUAGGCCCUACUAACCAUUCUCCCCAGUAGCCAUCCGACUGUGUGGUCCCUUGCUCUCAAAUUUGGUGGGUCAUCUAAGUAGUUUUAAUUGAAAGUAUUAUGGAAUUGAUACUGCCUGACUUCAUGAAAUUUACAUGUAAGUGUAGCCCACAUCCCUCAUCAAAGAGCUUUUAGCUAGGUGUCAUGGCACAUUUCUUUAAUCCCAGUACUUUAGAGGCAAUGGCAGGUGGAUCUCUAUUAGACUAAGCCAACCUGAGCUACAUAUUUAAUUCCAGGCCAGCUAGCAGUACAUAGUGAGACCCUGUCUACACACACACACACACACACACAAAAAAAGAAGCUUAUUUUACAACAAAUAGAGACAAAUAUGGAGAUAGAUACACAACUGGUCAGAAUGCAAAGAAUAAGUGACCCAAUGGGGUACCCAACUCUAGUUGACACAUCUGGAAUGGGACCCUAUACCUAAGAUCAGGGAAAUCACAGAAGAGGAGGUGGGAAGAUUGUUAGAACCAUAGGUCCAGGCUACCUGUUGUUAUAUAGUAUCCCAUACACAUAUAUACAUAACAGAGGAAAAUGUAUCCAUGAACUCUCAGCAAUAUGUUUGCCUGAACAAAGCCACUAUGAAUAGGGGAUAUUACACCUAUCCCUCCCCUAGAUCACAAGCUACAAGUGGCCAAUAGCAGCUGCUGAGAUUGGGUGAAUCAGUUGCCUCUAGGGAUGAGCUUUCACAGAGGUUGUCCAAACCCUAGUGGUCAAUCCUAAACACAUAUACAUAAAAACAAAGCUAAAUGUACUUAGGUUAUAUAAACAUGUGCAUACACACAUACAGAUGAAUAUACACGUAAUGAUAGUAAUUAAAGGAGAGGCCGUGAAUUAGGGAAGGGGAACAGAAGGGGAAGAAGGAGGAGGGGGAAUGAUGAUAUAUGCAGUAUUCACGUACAAAAUGAUAUAAAACACUUACAAAACAGUAUGCUGUAAGAUGCCUUGCAACUUUUGCUUUGGCCUUUUGAUGCCAAGAACAACCAUGUAAGUCCAACUAUCUUGCUAAUCAGGACACGUGGAGGAGCCCUGAGAUGAUGUGGAAAAGAGAGCACCCCAGCUAAGCCCAGAUUUCCAGGUCUGAAUAGGCAUUUGAAUGAACCCCUCUGAGUUCCUCCAGACCUAUUAGCGAACCAGUUGGGUACCAUAGAGUGGCACCCUAGAUAGGAAGCCGACUUAUUUUACAGUAAGUCUCCUCCAAAUUCUUCACCUACACAAUCAUGAGUACAAUAAGAUAGUUAUUGUUUUAAGACCCAACUUAGGGAGUGAUUUAUUCUAUAACAAUGUAUAACGAGGACAUUGGAUGUUACAGUACUGAGAGCAUAAGGCAAUAACCUGAUAGCAGCUGGAAGGUCACAUACAACUAAGGGAGUAUUUUUUCUUUAGUUUUUCUUCUUUUUACUCUUCUCUCAUAUGUUAUAUCCUGAGCGCAGUUUCCCCUCCCUCCACUGUGCCCCAUCCCCCCAUACCUCUCCUCUGCCCCAGAUCUACACUUUCUCCAUUUCCCUUCAGAAAAGAGCAGGUCUCUCAGGGAUAUCAACUGAACAUGGCAUACCCAUUGCUGGUGAGAGUACUUUCCUAAAUAGAAGUUUGGCAUGAUGUAUUUAUUUACAUCCUUAUUUUUAUUUUAAUGUAUAGUUGUUUUGCCUCCAUGUGUAUCUAUAUACCACAUGCAUGCCUGGUGCCCGCAGAGACCAAAAAAGGUGUUAAGUCCUGUAGUACUAGAGUUACAGAUAUUUGUGAACCAUCAUGUGGGUGCUAGGAAUUGAAUCUGGGUCCUCUGGAAGAGAAGAGGGUGCUUUUAACUGUUGAGCCAUCUCCCCAUCCCCAAAAGGGACUUUUUAUAAUGAUGAUAGAUACUUGGGAAUGUGUACAUGUUAAUAAGGAACUUCUCUUUAAUGAUGGUAGGUGCUUGGAAAUGUGUAUAUGUUAAUAGGGAAAAGCUAGGAGAAAGAGGAAUAGAGAUGUCGAAGAGGGAGGAGAGAGGUGAUGUGCACACCAGAAAGAUAUGUUGUAUCUUAUGGAGACUGUAUAUGUAUUAGAUAAGUUGCAUUCCGGUAUGAGCUGUAAUGUUAUUGGCUAUGAAUUUGGAAGUAGCGAAUCAACAAUCAUGUACUUCUAGAAAAAGAAAGAAGAAAGUUGCCAACCUAUGCAUGAGGCUUCUCAGAAAAGUGAUUAAAAAAAGGGUUUUUUGGGGGUGUGUGUGGAGUGUGUAUGUGUUUGUGGGGGGGGCAGAGGUCAAAUUGGGUGAUUUCCUGGACACUAUCUGUCUGACUUAGUUACUGCUCUAUUUCUAUGAAGAGGCACCAUGAGUAAGGCAACUAGUAAAAUAAAUCAUUUAAUUGGAGACUUGCUUACAGUUUGAGAGGGUGAAUUCAUAACCACCGUGGUAGGGAGCAUGCCAGCCAGCAGGCAGGCAUGGCACUGGAGCAGUACCUGAGAGUUUACAGAUUAUCCACAAGAAUCAGGGAGAGACUGGGCUUGCCAUGGCUUUUGAAACCUCAAAGCCCAUCCCAGUGACACACUUCCUCCAACAAGGCCACACUUCCUAAUCCUUCCCAAAGCCGUUCACCAACUGUGGACCAAGCAUUUGAAUAUAUAAGCCUGUGGGGGCCAUUCUCAUUCAAACUAUUAUACUCUCCAUCUCAUUUUUUUAGACAGGAGGCUGUCAGUGAACCUGUAGCUCCCAAUUGGGAUCCAGUGAUCUCCUAUCUCUGCCUGCAUAGAGAUCUGAUAUUACAAGCACAUCCCACUGUACUGGUUAUUUUAUGUUGGUCCCAGGGAGCUCAGACUACAGCAUUCACUUUACUGACUGAACUAUAUCACUCUGGCCUCUAUGCAGUUCUAAUUUGCAUUUCGGAUUGCUAAGGCUAUUGAACUUUUAAGUUAAUUCAUUUUAAAAUGUAUUGGUUAAUUUCUUUGUGCAUUUGUGUACUAUGUGUCAGUGAGUUUGUGUAUGCAUGCAUUUGUAUAUGGAGGUCAGAGGCUAACUUAGGAGAAUCAGUUUUCUUCUAACAGGCUGGGCCUGGGGAUUGAACUCAGAUCAUUAGGUUUGGCAGCAAGUGCCUUUCUUUACCUGCUGAGCCAUCUUGCUAGCCCCUUAAUUUAGUUUUUUUAAUAUUAAUGUAUAAACUAACAGUUUCAUUAGAGCAAUCUAGAAACAACUUGUUUUUUUAAAUGUUCUCUGCCCAGUCACAUCCCUUAUCCCCCUCUUGUACCCUACCACUUUUAGUAUUCCAUUUUUAACUCUGAUUCAUCAUGAAUUCUAUUAGUGUCCUCAUCUUCCUUCCCUCAAACCUAUUUUUCUCAUCAAUGGUGUCAUUUUAAAGUGCCACUAUUAUAUAUUAUUUGUGCAUAAUAAUGUGUCUCAUUAACAUUUUCAUGCAUGUACAUAAUGUACAUUGAUCAUAUUUACUGCUCCCCUCUUUUGUCCCACUCUCAUUCCUACUAAUCAUGUUCCUACUCCAACUGCUCUUCUGUUUUUAACUCUCAUGUAUCAUGUAUUCUAUUAUCCUGCUCAUCAUCCUUCCCUCAAACCUCUUUCAUAUUUCAUACAUGACUCAAUGAGUUUCAUUAGGGUUGUUUAUAGGGAUAUUGGCAAGAGAUUGUUUACUGGAACAUGGGUACCUUGUCAGUGGCUACAUAACUAAAAAAAAAAAAUCUCCCCCUCUUCUAUCAACAUUAACUACAUAUAAAUCCUCGGGGAGUGUUAGAGUCAUGGUCCUGCUUCUAGUUUCAUGACCUAUACCCAUAGCCCCACAAAAAUGUUACUUUCUUCUUUUGGUUACUGUCUGGUCAAGUCAUUUGCCCUAUAUUUCUCGAGAGUUUAAUUUUUGGAGUUCUUUGUAGAUUCUAAAAAAAAAAAACAGUCUUCUUUUGUAUGUAUAGCAGACAACAAUUUUUCCCUCAUCCUGUAGGCUGUCUCUGUUGAGUUUUUCCUUUGUUGUACAAAAGCUUUGUAAUUUCAUGAUGUCUCACUUGGAAAUUCCUGGGAAUAUUUAUGGUGAUACUUGAAUCUCUUUCAAAAAGUCCUUGCCUAUACCUAUAUCUAACAAAAAGCAAAACAUACCACAGAAC